GGGAUUACCUGGGUGUGUCUAAGGUGUUUUUAUCCCAUUUUCUAAACACCUGAGACACACCCAGGUAAUCCCCA